GCCAGGUUGAGCUGCAAAACUUGUGGGAGGAGCAGCUGGGCCCGGAAGUGCCAGAUAACCUGUAUGAUGUGUAGUUGCCGCACCAUGAGAUUCAAAUCCUGCCUGUGUGGCAGGUUGGACACUUGGGAUUGCAUGAUCACUAGGAGGUGGAGGACCAGAUGGUGGGAGAAUGUCAGCCAAUAUAUCGAUCUCCUGGUUGGAGGUGGACAGCUCCUGCUGAGCAUAUUGCAUAUUAGUUGGAGUAACCUGACUAUAUGUUGCCCUUGAGAGCUCAGCACCCUGAGGGACCGAUUGAGGAAGCUCAGGGCUUUGAUUUGAAUUAGGAUGGAAAGAUGUAGAGUUCUGCAGAUGAGUUUGCAUGCUAUUCGAGGUCAUAGCCUUGAAAGGACCAUCACCAAAAGGAUCCUCAAACAUCUGCAAGAAAAGCAAAUAUCUCUUCAGUAAGUAAAUUGUAGAACGGCAGAAUCAUAAAUGUGUGCAAUACAACGCAUAUGGUUAACUCAUUAAAUGCCCUUGCACUGGUUUUGGUUUAUCCACCUGGUUAGAGAUGGUAGAUCCUGAUGAUGCUUCCCCAAACAUGGUCUCAGUGCCAGUGCUCCCAGAAGGAUUAACCUCAGAGGCACUCGAAGCUGCAGGUACAAGGGCUAAUGAGUUGGAGGAAAACGGCUCAGACAAGGCGCCAAGUAAAUCCAUUUCGCCAGCAGAAGUAGUUGACACAGGACCAUUUGAUGGAGCUGGGGCCGCUGCUCAUACAGGAGAAAACUUACUUGCAUUAGAAUGGUAAAGUAACAAAUCAUUUACAAAACAAUUUGAGAAGCACCUGGGAAUCAAAAAGGAGCCCAUAAUCAAUAUGAUACCAGCAAUCGCACAGCAGACAAAAAAUAAUGAGGUUCCAAUGUGACGUUAAGGGACUCCUCAACUCUACUAAUACAUCACAUUGUGUAUUAAACCCUCAUUUCUGCGCUUGGAAUUCUCAAUUACCCUUAAUUUUAUUUUUGAAUUUCACUCGCUUCAUAGUACAGGCAGGUGUCAUCAGCAAAUAGCACCCGAGAUUUCACAAUUUACUGCAGAAAAUUACUGCCAACUAUUAACCCCUUUACGCAGCGCCUCUAUCCUCUGAUUUUAUUGGUGAAUAAGAAGGGCUAGAAAGAGUCAUUUUCGCUAUUUAGGAAUUUCGGACUGAAAAUUUAGCUGUGGAUAUGCACCAUUUUAUCCAUGCAAUUCAUUUUUCUCCAUAAUUCAUUUCCUUUAAUAUUGCGAACAAAAAGUUGCAGUUAACAUGAUUUAAGGCCGUUUCCAUAUACAAUUUGCAGGUCACCCAUGGUGUUCCUUCUUUUAUUGCUCAAAACCCAAUUGAUAUAAGCACAGCUUCAGCAAUUUGUUUGUGUGAUAUUAAGGAAAUCUGAGAAUCUUUUAUCAAAUUGCUCGUAACACCUUACACUCUUGUUCUCAGUACUUGUGAAAUUAGUUUAUAUACACAAACCAGCACAAACGUUUUUUUUGGUAUUAGAGCAAUAAAUGACACAUUGAGGCUCUUCGCAGUGACCAUCCUCAAAUAAGAUGCUUUUAGUGCUGCCAGAACUGAAGUAAAAGACUGACUGGACACUUUAUUAAGAUGAGAAGAUAAAAGGUGCAAGUAUAUGAAGAGAGCACACGUUGAUUUUGAUUUCUUAGGAACAGAAAUCAGUGAAAAGGUGGGUCUUAAAAGAUGUAUGUUGUAAUAAUUCUCUUUAUGCGAUGCCAAAGAGGGAUUAUUUUAAUUUUUAACAGAAAAGAGAAAGGAACGGUUCACAUUCACGUUAUAUAGCAUACACAAGUUACACCUUUACCAGCACAGCAUGGGUCUUAAAACGUCCUGUGCAUUUUAAUUGUCCUCUCUAUAACAAACACGUACUUCCCAACUUCACCCACCUUUACCAAAAUAAAUUUUCAACACAUCUGAAUUUGCUAAUACUUGUAACAAAAUCGUAAUUUUGGAGUUUGGUUGGUCCCAAUUGUUUAUUUAAUCAAGCAAGCAGCAUGCUACACGAUUAAACAUCUUUAACAGACAGACAGACAUACACUGCAAGUUACUUUCUCAAAGUACCACAUUGAAGGAAGCCUAGUUACUAAAGACAAAAUAGGAAACUAGUAGCUCCUGAUUACCACCAAAUAUUUUGAAAAUGUUUAGUGCCAGUAAUAUACUUAAAACAUUAAGCACUAACUUGGCCAUUGUUCUUCAGUGGGGGUCGUUUUACCUGAAAAAGAUGCACGGGGAUCAAAUUCAUCAAAACUCUCAACAACCUUGUUUUCUGGUGGUGGAGCAGUAGCUGCUGCUGGAGCUGGUGGUGGAGCAGUAGCUGCUGCUGGAGCUGAAGGUGGAGCAGUAGCUGCUGCCGGAGAAGGCAUAUUAGCUGGGCUAGGACUGGCACUUGCAUGAGGAGAAGAAGAUUUGGGAGCAGAUGCUGAAGAAGU
rnacentral:lncRNA from 1 species